rnacentral:rRNA from 1 species
AUUGACCGCUGGCGGCAGGCUUAACACAUGCAAGUCGAGCGAGCGGCGGACGGGUGAGUAAUGUCUGGGAAACUGCCUGAUGUCGGGGGAUAACUACUGGAAACGGUAGCUAAUACCGCAUACCCUCCGAUGAACCCAUCUGGGAUUGGCUAGUAGGUAGGGUAACGGAUUACCUGGGCGACGAUCCCUAGCUGGUCUGAGAGGAUGAUCAGCCACACGAGGACUGAUACACGGCCCAGACUCCUACGGAAGGCAGAAGUGGGGAAUAUUGCACAAUGGGCGCAAGCCUGAUGCAGCCAUGCCGCGUGUAUGAAGAAGGCCUUCGGGUUGUAAAGUACUUUCAGUCGGGAGGCGUUGCCGACAGAAGAAGCACCGGCUAACUCCGUGCCAGCAGCCGCGGUAAUAC